rnacentral:rRNA from 1 species
AAGUCACACCGUAGAAAGGACAACAAUACCGGCAUAGGAAACAACGACACUCUGGACGAUGCCGAAGACAGAGAAGACCCCGACGAGCCAACUGCCGAACAGGAUGAUCGGGAAGAUGGGCAGGUCAACCCUGAUGAACAGGUCACAAACGAAGACUCGAAGGAUAGUAAUUAUCUCCCACUCUCCGAGGACGAGGUGAGCCUAGGUGACGAAGACUUUAUCGUGCCUGAGGAACCUCUCGAGCAGGAACGCUUUAAGCGCCGGCUAAUUGCCACUGCAAGGAGCCUGAAAAAGAAGCAGCAACAGCUUCAAGCUGAUCAAGAUCUGCUCAAUGACAGAUGGACUAAUGUCCUGGCGGCCGAGGAAUACGGCCUCGAGCGCCCAACCAAAAGUUACCCGAAGCGCAAACUGUUACCUCAAUUCAAUGACGAGGCGCCGGAUCCCGUACCAUCAGGACGUAAUGCGGCUGACCGACCACCGCGUGGCCAGGAUAAAGCGGCAACUCAAGCCGAACACCAGCCCGUACGACCUCGCCGUAAAGGCAGAGACACAAAAGCUCGGGGAUACACAUAUGAUCCAUGGUAG